rnacentral:rRNA from 1 species
GACGAACGCUGGCGGCGUGCUUAACACAUGCAAGUCGAACGGAAAGGCCCUGCUUUUGUGGGGUGCUCGAGUGGCGAACGGGUGAGUAACACGUGAGUAACCUGCCCUUGACUUUGGGAUAACUUCAGGAACCUGGGGCUAAUCCCGGAUAGGAGCUCCUGCUGCAUGGUGGGGGUUGGAAAGUUUCGGCGGUUGGGGAUGGACUCGCGGCUUAUCAGCUUGUUGGUGGGGUAGUGGCUUACCAAGGCUUUGACGGGUAGCCGGCCUGAGAGGGUGACCGGCCACAUUGGGACUGAGAUACGGCCCAGACUCCUACGGGAGGCAGCAGUGGGGAAUAUUGCACAAUGGGCGGAAGCCUGAUGCAGCAACGCCGCGUGCGGGAUGACGGCCUUCGGGUUGUAAACCGCUUUCGCCUGUGACGAAGCGUGAGUGACGGUAAUGGGUAAAGAAGCACCGGCUAACUACGUG